ACCAAUUCAAAUUAUUCUUGUCUACCACUAGUAAUUAGUUAGAGUUUCUUAUGCUUCAUUCCAGCCUAUACGUCACCACAAAAACUCACAAAAACAAUCUCUUCUUCUCCUCACUUGACCGAAUCUUCUUCCUCCAUUUGCCAAGGAAAUUUCAACUUCAUCUUCUUUCUUUUUGCUCCCUAAAUCUUGCUCUAACCUAGCCUAUUCUCUUGGAUCAUCCUCAAGCUUAGUAGGAGACCUGAAGGGGGAGAGAUUCUUGGUGAUUUAGAACCUGAUUUCUUGUGAGGGAAGGUGAUCAAGAGAAUCAUGAGGAGCUCGUUUGAUCUUGCCUUGCUCUUGCUUUACAUUCUUGAUUUCGGCUGACAUCAAGAGGAGCAUUGGACGAACGUGGUAAACUUGAUGAGGAGACACUUGUCAAUGUAAAUAACUUGAUGAAGAGAGGUUCAAAAAUUAAGGGAUCAAGUGGGUUUAGUAACGAGU